rnacentral:rRNA from 1 species
AUUGAACGCUGGCGGCAUGCCUUACACAUGCAAGUCGAACGGCAGCACGGGGCAACCUGGUGGCGAGUGGCGAACGGGUGAGUAAUGCAUCGGAACGUACCUUUCAGUGGGGGAUAACGUAGCGAAAGUUACGCUAAUACCGCAUAUUCUGUGAACAGGAAAGCAGGGGAUCGCAAGACCUUGCGCUGAUUGAGCGGCCGAUGUCAGAUUAGCUAGUUGGUGAGGUAAAGGCUCACCAAGGCGACGAUCUGUAGCGGGUCUGAGAGGAUGAUCCGCCACACUGGAACUGAGACACGGUCCAGACUCCUACGGGAGGCAGCGGUGGGGAAUUUUGGACAAUGGGGGCAACCCUGAUCCAGCCAUGCCGCGUGAGUGAAGAAGGCCUUCGGGUUGUAAAGCUCUUUCGGCCGGGAAGAAAUCGCACGGGCUAAUACCCUGUGUGGAUGACGGUACCGGAAUAAGAAGCACCGGCUAACUACGUGCCAGCCGCCGCAGUAACAC